rnacentral:rRNA from 1 species
CCUACGGGUGGCAGCAGUCGAGAAUCAUUCACAAUGGGGGAAACCCUGAUGGUGCGACGCCGCGUGGGGGCAUGAAGGUCUUCGGAUUGUAAACCCCUGUCAUGUGGGAGCAAAUUAAAAAGAUAGUACCACAAGAGGAAGAGACGGCUAACUCUGUGCCAGCAGCCGCGGUAAUACAGAGGUCUCAAGCGUUGUUCGGAAUCACUGGGCGUAAGGCGUGCGUAGGCUGUUUCGUAAGUCGUGUGUGAAAGGCGCGGGCUCAACCCGCGGACGGCACAUGAUACUGCGAGACUAGAGUAAUGGAGGGGGAACCGGAAUUCUCGGUGUAGCAGUGAAAUGCGUAGAUAUCGAGAGGAACACUCGUGGCGAAGGCGGGUUCCUGGACAUUAACUGACGCUGAGGCACGAAGGCCAGGGGAGCGAAAGGGAUUAGAUACCCCUGUAGUC